UGCAUUCUGUUUUUAAUUUGUGUUUUACACAUUGUUCCAACUUUUUUGGAAACAAGGUGGUAUAACAACAGAAAGUGAAAGCAAAGUGGUCUGUUUUUCUAAUAGGCUACAGAACAUAUCAGGCUCAAUCUGACAAUCAGUCUGAGAAGGUAUUACUGCCUACAAGAAAAGCACAUAUGGGCAACAAAAAGUCAACCCCACCACCACCAAAAGAAUUUGACCAAGAAUGGAGGAAAACUGACUGGAGGUAUGUAUUACUGUAUUGGAGGUACAAAGAAAGUUUUGGUUAUAAUUACAAUCUGUAUUAAGUGUUGUGUUCUGUAGAUGUGGUAGAUCAUUAUAUGCAGUCUAUGGCCACUGUUAAAAACACACUGCUCAAAAAAAUUAAGGCAACACUUAAAUCAC